ACUUAAGAGUUUAAAAUCAAUAAGCGUGUUUUUUUACUUUUGAUUUCUUUUUCCUUUAAUAGUGGAUGAUUCAAUAUCAGCCAGCCAGAUUUUUCGACUUCCAGAAAAUAAAGAAAAUCCGUGCUUGUGUGCUUCAGGAGGCCGAAAGCCAACAGCUGCUGCAUUCUUUUACCAGCACCCUGCAGGGAUCUGUUUUUGCACCGACCACCCGCCGGCAAAGCAGACUAGCGCAGCGCCACAAAACGGUUAGUUCGAAACUGGGCUCAAAAACAAACUUGUAAGGAUAACCAUUCCUAGAUAAAAACAAGUUGAUAAGAAAUCCACAUUCUUCGCAACACCCAACAGAAAGCAAAAAAAAAUUGAUAAAUAAAAUUUAAAUCAUUUCACGUCCUCAGCUUUCAAUGAAUGAAACAAAAGAACGACAAGUUAUAAAACGUACAACAGUCCAGUUGAAUUUUAAAACUACAAUAAUUAUUUCGAGUUACUCAUUCGGGUGCCAUAUAUGCCAUAAAGAGGUCUCAUAAACGGUAAAGUAAUUUAAUUAUAUUAUUUUUUUAUUUCAAACUUACAUGUGAAAAAGUAACUGACUUCAAUAUGGUUAGUGUGUGUUGGAUCACUUUCUUCUUUCAACAGCAAAAAAUAUAGACAAAAAAAAAACAAAUAAAAUUGUUGCAAGAAAAUUUCACACAAAAUAAAUUGUUUAUUUAAAACAAUUUAAUCACGAUUUGUUUAUUUGUUUGAUUAAUUAAUCAAAUUGGCAAAAAAUUGGCAAAUAACAAUUUUUAUCAUGUACCAGUAUCUUAUGUCUCACAAUCUUGUAUAUAUUUUUUUUUUUUUU